rnacentral:misc_RNA from 1 species
GAUGAAGAACGUAGCGAAAUGCGAUAAGUAGUGUGAAUUGCAGAAUUCAGUGAAUCAUCGAAUCUUUGAACCCACAUUGCGCCCUUUGGUAUUCCAAAGGGCAUGCCUGUUCGAGCGUCAUUUGUACCCUCAAGCUUUGCUUGGUGUUGGGCGUCUUGUCUCUAGCUUUGCUGGAGACUCGCCUUAAAGUAAUUGGCAGCCGGCCUACUGGUUUCGGAGCGCAGCACAAGUCGCACUCUCUAUCAGCAAAGGUCUAGCAUCCAUUAAGCCUUUUUUUCAACUUUUGACCUCGGAUCAGGUAGGGAUACCCGCUGAACUUAAGCAUAUCAAUAAGCGGAGGA